GCUCAUGCUAAUGGCCAAAAACCUUAGUUAGGUAGUUAGACAAUAUAGUUAGCAAAUUUAUUUAAUAUAGAUAGAUAGAAAAUUUAGAUAGAUAUUUAGUUAGGUUACUAGACAUGUAGUUAGACAAUGUAUUUAGACUGUAUGAAUUUUGCUUAUUUUGGAUGUCUAGAGACUUUGAUAUUACGUAGUUGAUUCUAUAAAGGGCAAGAAUCUGAGAGGGAAGAAGAACAAAUGAGAGUAGGUUCACGCAGUAAAAUUUGUUUCUGAAUUUGAAUCCAAGCUCGGCGCCAGGAUCCAUGGCUCUGAGGUCGGAGCCACAGAUCUGAGCUCCAAGGUCGGUGCCAAAGGUCGGAGCCACAGAUUUGAGCUCCAAGGUCGGUGCCAAUAUUUGAGGCUUCGAGGUAUUAGCCAUGUGAGUACCACCUAGGAUGCCCUGUUGUGCAUGGCCAGACACUUCGGAGCCAAGAUUUAUGGUGCCGAGAUGUGUUACCUCAGAGCCGUGAGUUUUGGCGCCGACCCCCUAGAUCCAAAGAUGAGUUUAUGUCACAUAAGGAGCCAAAUAUAAAUUUGUUUGAGAAAAAAGACAAAAAAAUUAAAAAAAAUCCCUUAAAAAUAGCAUUAGGCAUUAUAGACAAGCCCAUUGCUAUCGCGAUUGCCCUCUAUCGAAUCCAAUUCUGGCUUAAACCUUGCAGAUUUUUUUUAGAUAGUGGAUAUAAAAUUCGGCCUCUACAUCUGAGGAUGUAUAUCACAUAAAUAAAAAGAGCCAUAGUCCUAAACAUCGACUAGGUUGUUAGUUUAAACAAUAUAAAUGUUUCCAUCCUUUAUUGGAUAUCUCUAAAGCAAUUACUUCUAAUUUCUUUCUUAUGUUCGAGAGCGCGCGUCCUUGGCUGUCUCAUCACGCUGCAGCUAAGCCCAAAAGCGUAACCAGUAUGCUCCCCUGAAAAUUAAUUGCAUAAUAGAGUUGGUUUUUAUUUUAUUAAAAAUAUAAUCAUUGCGGCAUCUCUAGAUAGCCCAAAGCAUAGCAGCCACUCCCACCC
rnacentral:lncRNA from 1 species